rnacentral:rRNA from 1 species
UACGUAGGGGGCAAGCGUUGUCCGGAAUUAUUGGGCGUAAAGAGCGUGUAGGCGGUUUGUCGCGUCUGCCGUGAAAGUCCGGGGCUCAACUCCGGAUCUGCGGUGGGUACGGGCAGACUAGAGUGAUGUAGGGGAGACUGGAAUUCCUGGUGUAGCGGUGAAAUGCGCAGAUAUCAGGAGGAACACCGAUGGCGAAGGCAGGUCUCUGGGCAUUAACUGACGCUGAGGAGCGAAAGCAUGGGGAGCGAACAGG